rnacentral:lncRNA from 1 species
CAAUUUGAUUUCACUGCCGCCAGAAACAACAUUCUCAACCACAACCUUGCACUCAACUUUACCAUCAGAAAUUCCAACAAAAGGGCCGGCUUAGACUUAGGUGCAUUAUUUAUCAUACUUUCAUAUUAAUUAUCCUUAAGUUUUGUUAAGGAAUUGAUUAUAAAAGAGCCUUAUUACUUUCAUUUUCUCAGUUUCAGCCAUACUGCACACUUAGAACGUUUUUGGUGAUAAUUCGACUUUUCGAAGGAAUUUUGAUGUAAGGCCAAUUGGAAAAGGAAGCUAAGAGGCUGAAGAUUGUUGUGUCCGAAUUUCAUAUUUUCGAUAGAGCCAUUCUUCCAGUUUUACAAAUCAAUCCCGCGGAAGUUGUUUUCCCGUCAGAACUGCAUAGCUGUGGGAGAAUGAAUAUUUGAAGGCUUUCCCGAUUUCCAGUUUUACAAAUCAAUCAUGCGGAAGUUGUUUUCCCGUCAGAACUGCGCAGCUGUGGGAGAAUGAAUAUUUGAAGGCUUUCCCGAUUUUUCCUAGUGGCGUGCGAUAUAUGCUUGGAAAGAUAAGAGAUAAAGCUACGUUUCCUAUAUUUUUACAGAAUUUUCCAGAAGAUAAAUCGAUCCCAAAACUGGCAUGCAAGACAGAUGACGUGUUUCCCAAGCCAAGAAGGAUUCUUUCCUAGUUUGUGUCAUUAAUUGUUUAGGAGUUUGUUUUAUUUAGGAGAGUUUCUCCCAGACCUUUUAGGGUUUUUC